CCUACGGGAGGCAGCAGUGGGGAAUAUUGGACAAUGGGCGAAACUCUGAUGCAGCGACGCCGCGUGAGUGAAGAAGUCUUUCGGUAUGUAAAGCUCUAUCAGCAGGGAAGAAAAUGACGGUACCUGACUCUGAAGCCCCGGCUAACUACGUGCCAGCAGCCGCGGUAAUACGUAGGGGGCAAGCGUUAUCCGGAUUUACUGGGUGUAAAGGGAGCGUAGACGGCAGGGCAAGUCUGAAGUGAAACCCCAUGGCUUAACCGUGGAACUGCUUUUGAUACUGUGCAGCUGGAGUGCAGAAGAGGUAAGCGGAAUGCCUGGUGUAGCGGUGAAAUGCGUAGAUAUUAGGAAGAACACCAGUGGCGAAGGCGGCUUACUGAACUGUAACUGACGUUGAGGCUCGAAAGCGUGGGGAGCAAACAGGAUUAGAUACCCUAGUAGUC
rnacentral:rRNA from 1 species